AAUAGAAAUAUUCAUUCUUCUUCAGUCAGCUGCACUAAUAUUUGGACAAGGUUUGUGCCCUUCUGGGAUUCCAAUAUACAAUUGCUUCGUAGAUCCGUGCAGCACUCCUGGUUGUACAAAUAUUGACUUUGCAACAUGUCGUUCAAACUACUGCGGAGGUUGUAACAGGGACUACUAUAUAGGACAAUUCAAAGUCAAUCGCUGGUGUAACCCAAGAGAGCCGGGGUCGCCCUUCUGAAGCUGAGGUAGC